ensembl:lncRNA
UGUAAACUCCUUGCUGAUAGGAUAAGAGAUGUCACAAUGUUGACUUAUACUCUUCUUGUACUUAAACACAAAUAUGGAUUUAAUUCACCUCACGGGGUACAACAAAAAAUCCCCUUCAGUUUGAUGUCAGAAAUGAGAUUGCUGCUCACUGACAGAAGUGACUGCACUGGAAUUGGAGGGGAGACCCAAGAUGACACCAUCAUGAGAGGGACAGUAUGCAAUCAUGGAUUGGUGCAACAAGAAAUCACUCUCUGAUGGGACCCAGAAAUGAGCUCUCUGCACCUUUAGUCAUUUAAUCCCUG